AGCGAACGCUGGCGGCAGGCCUAACACAUGCAAGUCGAACGAAGUCUUCGGACUUAGUGGCGGACGGGUGAGUAACACGUGGGAACGUGCCUUUAGGUUCGGAACAACUCAGGGAAACUUGUGCUAAUACCGAAUGUGCCCUUCGGGGGAAAGAUUUAUCGCCUUUAGAGCGGCCCGCGUCUGAUUAGCUAGUUGGUGAGGUAAAGGCUCACCAAGGCGACGAUCAGUAGCUGGUCUGAGAGGACGAUCAGCCACAUUAGGACUGAGACACGGCCCAAACUCCUACGGGAGGCAGCAGUGGGGAAUCUUGCGCAAUGGGCGAAAGCCUGACGCAGCCAUGCCGCGUGAAUGAUGAAGGUCUUAGGAUUGUAAAAUUCUUUCACCGGGGACGAUAAUGACGGUACCCGGAGAAGAAGCCCCGGCUAACUUCGUGCCAGCAGCCGCCGUAAAAC
rnacentral:rRNA from 1 species